GUACAAUGGGCUGCCUAUGACUCAUACCUGAAAUCAAUUAGAAUUAAUACUGCUAUGUCCCUUCCUUCUUCCUCACAAAGACAAGUCCACUGAUAAGGGCAAGUGUAAAAUGGUGUUGAAGCCAUAGUAAGAGCAUCAAGAACAGUAUUCUAUCUGUUCAGUGGUGUUUGAGGUGUUAAGUAAGAGAGACAGAGAACAUUGUUUGUUAUACCAAGUAGGCAUUGCCCUGACCACCAAUUCUGCACAGUAUGGCAAGCAACAAAUCAGUUGAGGAAAUGAGGACAGAAAAUGUUGUGAGAUGCUUAUACCCAUGCCCUGGAGCAAUUUUUAAGCUGAUUUGCUUCCCAUGGGCAGGAAGCGGAUCUACCCAUUUUGCAAAAUGAGGCAAAAGUUUUCAUCAUUCAAUAGAAGUUUCCUCUAUAACGCUUCCUGGAAGAGGAAAUCGAUCUAAUGAGCCAUUUGCAACAAGCUUGGAUCAUGUAGCUGCUGAAA
rnacentral:lncRNA from 1 species